GAUGAACGCUGGCGGCGUGCCUAAUACAUGCAAGUCGAGCGAACAGACGAGGCGCUUGCCCCUCUGACGUUUGCGGCGGACGGGUGAGUAACACGUGGAUAACCUACAUAUAAGACUGGGAUAACUUCGGGAAACCGGAGCUAAUACCGGAUAACAUGUUGAACCGCAUGGUUCAACAGUGAAAGACGGUCUUGCUGUCACUUAUAGAUGGAUCCGCGCCGCAUUAGCUAGUUGGUAAGGUAACGGCUUACCACGGCAACGAUGCGUAGCCGACCUGAGAGGUGGAUCGGCCACACUGGAACUGAGACACGCUCAAGACUCCUACGGGAGGCAGCAGUAGGGAAUCUUCCGCAAUGGGCGAAAGCCUGACGAAGCAACGCCACGUGAGUGAAGAAGGUCUUCGGAUCGUAAAACUCUGUUAUUAGGGAAGAACAAAUGUGUAAGUAACCAUGCACGUCUUGACGGUACCUAGUCAAAAAGCAACGGCUAACUACGUG
rnacentral:rRNA from 1 species